GCGCCCGUAGCUCACUUGGAUAGAGCGCUUGGCUUCGAACCAAGAGGCAGCAGGUUCGAAUCCUGCCGGGCGCG
rfam:Omnitrophica WOR_2 bacterium RIFCSPHIGHO2_02_FTLL_67_20 rifcsphigho2_02_scaffold_12294, whole genome shotgun sequence.